AAUUAGUUUUUUAAUUGAAAAAUAGUAUGAAAGGUUUUACCAACUAUUUUAUUUAAAUAUAUUUUUGAAAUUUUAUUUUUAGUGAAAAUACUAAAAUUAAAUAUUUAGACAAAAAGACCCUAUGAAGCUAUUAGUCAUAAAUUGUAUAUAAUAAAAAUUACUAAUUUUUUGGGGAAAAAUUUAAACUUAAUAUUAACAUUAUCAAGUACUAUUAAAAGAGCCUUUUGGAAAUAUGAAAAAGCUCCUCUAGGGAUAACAGCAUAAUAUUUAAAAAAGUUCUUAUUAGAAUAAAUGU
rnacentral:rRNA from 1 species